UACGAAGGGAGCUAGCGUUGUUCGGAAUCACUGGGCGUAAAGCGCACGUAGGCGGAUGUGUCAGUCAGGGGUGAAAUCCCGGAGCUCAACUUCGGAACUGCCUUUGAUACAGCACAUCUGGAGUCCGGAAGAGGUGGGUGGAAUUCCUAGUGUAGAGGUGAAAUUCGUAGAUAUUAGGAAGAACACGGUGGCGAAGGCGGCCCACUGGUCCGGUACUGACGCUGAGGUGCGAAAGCGUGGGGAGCAAACAGG
rnacentral:rRNA from 1 species